UUAGACAUAGAAAGUGCUUAUUUAAAUGCAUGUAUAAGACGUGCUACAUAAAGAUCUUUGAGUGCUCAAGGCCCUACACAUGAACUGGUCCAUUCCCAACAGAAGAAAUAGUCCCAUAUACAAGAGGAGAGGCCUGACAUCAAACCCAUUGCUUGCUCACUACCAGUGGUUGCUGGGCCGGUGUGUAGGUGUGUGUAACAAGUUGAUUUCAGUUGCAAAGCCUCAAAACCCUGUCGCUCAAGCGCAUUCAUAUCUGGCUUCAAAGCAGAAGUCUAUAACUGAUUUUUUUAAAAAUGUGGUCUAAAGAACUCACAUUUUCACUUUACGGCACAUUUAACACUGUAGACUGUACGCAUGCUAUCAAAGCACAGUAAUUGACUUCAUUUUUAAAUAAAAUGGCUUAGCAUAGUCCCAUUAUCGAACAACUCAUCUGAUCUUUCCUUUAGAAUUUGUGAAAAUUUGCUUCUUAACGUUUGCGACCGUAAGUGGUUAAAUGGCUUUUCUGCCCAUUGCUGUUUCAUUGAUUCAACAGACUUAUCUCCUGCAAAGGCACAUUAGACCAUUAGUCCCGUAAUAGCGGGUAAACAUUCGAGACAAUCGCAAGGCAAACAGAGAAACACAAUCGAUGCCUCUCAGCUUCCAGAAAUAUAAUCCUGCACCUGGACUCCCUCAGAGUACCCAAGCACCUGUGUGAGGAAAAAGGAGGGAAAGAAAGACUGUGUCCCUUUAAGGGAUAACUCACAGAGGAAGAAGGAAAAACUGCAAAGAAGGAAGGAGAGGAGGUGUCUAUGCAUACGUGUACAUGUCAAAGUGAUAGACACUUGGGUGAGAGACGGAGAAGGAGAGAGAGAGGGAAGAAAGAUAAGCAGAGAGAUAAAGAAGGGGAGACACAACAUUGCAUUAGACACUAAAAGCCAUACAUCGCUCACUAAAGGCUAAUGCAAUUGCCACACAAUAAGAGCGUCUCAGCGGAGGCUGUAAAGAGAAAAAAACUAGAGAGGGGAAUGUAAGAGGAGAGGCAGGGAGGGAGGGGAGAAUGGAGGGAGGGGAGGAAGGAGGAGAUCUGGCAGCUCUGCCUCCAGACUCUCAUAUGGAUCUCCUGGGACAAUGGUUGAAAGUCUCUCUCUACUGUAACUCCUGACUGUGUGUGUGUGAGUGGCUCGCUGCUCUUGCUGUCUCCAGAGUGAUUUAUCAGGUUUGCAGGGAGGAGAGACAGAGGGAGAGAGGGGGAGGGAGACAACUCCAGUAGCAGGCAGGCAGCAGUUACCAACCAGCUGGCCGGGUGUGUUAACUCCACAUCUGACCUCUAUGGGAACAGAGCGAUCUCCUCUCCUCUCCUGGCUGACUGUGGGAACGAGGAGAGAUCUUCAUUUCCCCCACUCUCACUGCUCCUGGCUGGGCCGUCGAGCUCGGGGAACCGGCCCCUGGACAGAGGAGGACAUGACAGGACGGGACAGCUUUGGGAGCGAGAUCUCAGGAGGGAGAGCCGGGGUCUGAGGAUUUCACUGCCGAGCAGUAACUGGACCUCGCUGGCACCGCCUGGCUGUCAGUCAGGCAGCGAUGCAGUUGUCUAGUCAGUCAUUAGCCAGUCAGAUGGUUAGUUAGUCAGCCGGGAAAUCGGUCAGUGGGGUCUUUCCCAAAGAGUCAACUCUUAGUGCAUACCCUCAUCUGAACUCUGAGGUGACUCAGACUUGCCAUGUAGCCAGAGCGGACCUGUGGGCAUGGUCACAGGUGCUUCACAGCUGCUGUGGGAAAAAAGCAUCUGGAGCCCACGAGGAUGUAACCUUACGAAGGGCAGGGGAGGGCGGAUGCAGCCUCUCUAUCUCGGCUGUGGUGGGGAGGGUUCCUGGCACCGUGAUUUGAUGCACAAAGAGAAACAAAAAUCACAUUGCCAGGGAUUUCCACUCCUUCACAGCUCAGCAGGUGACCCACCGCACCGUCGAGUUUCCAUCGCGGGUUGCUUUUGUGUAGCCGUCCUAGCUGCUCUGAUUGGAUUCAGUUGAUUUCUGAUGCUGGAUGUUGCUAUGGAGUCAAAUAUUGGUGAAGUUAGAUACGGCGAUCAACUCUCAGCAGACUUCUCACAAAGAGAGCUGUGAAAUAGCACAGAAAGUGUCGAAACGCUCACGAGGCUGCCGUUAAACGUGCAGCUGUCUGAAAUUCAAACUCUUCACAUGUCUCGUCUUUCAGAUACGACAGGAAGUUGAUGUAAAUGCACGUGAGGGCCGUGCAGCUUUACGUGAUAGAACUAACUUUUGGAGUCAGCUCACGUUUCAGCUCUCGGAUUUUAGAUUUAAACACACAGGGAAGCGGCCCUGAUCCUACACCGGCAGCACGCUCUGAAACACAAAAGCGAACCUCAACAUCCAAAGCACCGCAGGCGCUGAAGCCACCAACUUUACCGGUGAGCAGUCACGUAAAGGUCUGCGUGAGGCUCUGGUCCCUCGAAAGCCUGCCACCCACUUGCUAAAGGCACAGAGCUUAGCUAAUUGGUGAGCAUUGAUCCCUGCUAUGUGUUGUUCACAGUGGCUAAGUUCAGUGCCUGAGGUGAAAUAGUGGAUUCGACGUUGGGGGAUUUGUUCCGCUGAAUGGAAAGAACCUGAUGAUCUCGGAUAUGAGGAAAGAAGGAGGGAGGAGAAGGGGGAAGAGAUUAGGUGGGAAAAGGGAGAAGCUCUAAUGUGGGCUCACCUGCUUCUGUGGACCAAAGGCAGCGUGCUUGUGCAAUAUGGUCCAGAAGUGAGACAAGCUGUACUGUUUCUUCAUUUGCCUGCAGCAACAACUGUCUUCUUACCUCUAACAUCUGGCAAGAAUCAUCGCGCAUGCCAAAUGUAUUUGAAAUUGUCUGAGCGAGGCCAUGUGACCCAGGUUUAAUGUGUUCUUUCAAAUGCCUCAGAUUGCAUCCGGAUUAGGAAUGUGGUGCUAAAUGUCAACUAUAUCUGGGCGUGCCACUUCACGUCCGACUGAGGUAGCUUAGGACAUCAAUGCAGUGUUUAGCACUAACCUUCCCACACUUCAUCAUCUUUAACUGAAAGUCUCCAAGCUUUUCCUACGCUAAACUAGCUGAUUGAUUUAAUGUUAGUCUGAGCUGUCACUUAAUUUUUCUUGGGUGGAUUUUUAGCAAAUUAACACCAGUGCAAAUUAAGAACUAAAACGCCUUCUUUCCUGAAAUAAAAGUGUCUUAAGUGAUCACAAAUUCUCCCACUGCUCACUGUGAGCUGCGUGACUGCUUAAUUCACCCCGACCUUGGUGUUGCUGUUCUAACGCUGCAUGCCGCAUAUGAUGUGAGCAAAAAUAAGCUGCAGCACUCACUGUUGUUUCUGGGCUUUGCCCUCCUGUGCCUACUGAACUGGUAUCAGUGUUACACCUGAAAACUGGCUCAGUUCAGCAGGAACAGGAGUGGAGCCUACUGACAUGCGGCAGCUUCGAGCAACAGCUUACUUGUGCAGUGAGACCGAGAUUCAGCUGUUGUUGGUUGCUGUGUUAAACUGACGGUGCACGUGAUGCUCGCCUCGAGUCAAAGGCGGUGAUGAAAUCCAAACCAGAGUCCCCGAACCUGACAGACUGAAGCUUGACGUCUCCGUGGAAGUGCGUCCCGACUUAGACGACUGUGCUUUCCUUCGUCGGCGUGUAAAUGUUUCGUGAGCCAGUUUGCCUUUUUUUUCUCGAUCGGUAGGUGUUUGUGAAUACUCUUACAUGCUAAUGAACCCAGUCUUGUUGUUCUGUUCAACCUUCAUGUUUAUUCCUGCAUUCUCCUCCUGAGACGCCUGCAGACACGCCCCUCGAUCUUCACCUGUGUCGUCUCUCUGUCUGUGCCGUCAAAGGCCAGACUGAGACUAGGGCUCAUUGUGAGCUAAUCCCAGUGAAAUGUCUGCUAUGUCUGUGUAAUGCAUUUCAACCAGCAGCCCCACAUUAUGAGCAAAUGGGAAUGUGUGCAACUUGAAGCCACAAAAGGAAAAGUGCUUGAAAAUUUCAUAUCCAGAGGAAAGUGGAAGCUCAUCAGUAAGCGUGAUGAAUUUGCUCUUAUCCGGCACCUCCACUGAUCCUGGCUGCCGCCAUAAAAUUAUGUUUCCGUUACUUGAAAUUUCUGCAGAAAAUGUUCCAUUCAGACCUGGAGGAGGUUACCCAGUGAAAAGGUUAGAGAGGGGUUUCUCUCUAUCGGUGGUGUGAUGCCGACUUCAGGGCAUUGUUUCAGCCAGGUGGUACCACUGACAAGUUGGCUAUGAUUUGUGUAAGUGUUCAAUUGAACAAAGUGUUCAGUAGAAAUGGUGCAUAAAGUGCAUUAUUCUAAAUGUCAGCAUGUUCAUUUAAUGCAUGAUUUAUUCUGAUGUUGCAGGUGUUUCAUUUCAGCACAAACCCAGCACUGAUUGAAUGCAAUAAAGUUGAAAUGAGCCUGA